CCUGCCCUAAGCGCUUGGCGAGGACAGUUGAGCACCAGGGACCAUCCCCACAGGCCAGAAGCGGGGAGCCAGGCAGCCAGACGUGUGCCAGGCACUGUCUUAAGCGCUGGGGAUUCAUUCAUUCAUUCAAUAUAGGGACAGGCCCCGUCCCUGCUCCGCGCGGGUGGUAUUGGUUCAGCGCUUCCCGGGUGCCAAGCACUGUUCCAAGCAAUGGGGGACAUAGGUCAUCAGGUUGUCCCACCUGGGGCUCGCAGUUGAGGUCACUGAGGUGCAGAGAAGUGAAGGGACCUGCCCAAAAUCACCCAGCUGAUAAGUGGCAGAAGGGGGAUCAGAACCCAUGACCUUCUGACUCCCAGGCCCGUGCGCCAUCCACUAUGCCAUGCCUCUCCCUUUCCAAUGGGUGAGCCCCAGCACCUUUAAAUAGUGAUAAUAAGGAUGGCAUUUGUUAAGCGCUUACUAUGUGCAAAACACUGUUCUAGGCACUGGAGAGGAUACAAGGUCAUCAGGUUGUCCCACGUGGGACUCCCAGUCUUCAACCCCAUUUUAUAGAUGGGGGAACUGAGGCACAGUGAAGUGACUUGUCCCAAGUCACACCGCUGACAAACAGCUGAGUGGGGAUUUAAACCCAUGACCUCUGAUCCCAAACUCGUGCUUUUUCCAAUGAGCCACGUUGUUUCUCCGUGUUUGGGGUUUUUUUUAAAAUAGCCUCCAGGUGAUGAUGAUUACCUCUCCCACUAACCCUAGAGAAGCUGGGGGAGCUUUGCUUAACUUCUGCCUAAUUCUGCUUAAGAUAGGCACAAUUACCAGGCGAAAAGGGAGAGAAAUUUACCUCCGAGCGCUGGAGAGAUCCCUUGCCUUCUCCUAGGCCGGGAAAACCCGAGUUUGGCGUUAAGGAAAUGUGUUACUUGAAGGACCAGAUCGGCCACACGAAAAAAGACAAUUGGUCCCCUGGCCCCAAAGGGUCUCAUUCGUCUCUGUUGCAGCUGAAAACGGAAACAGAUGCAGUCAUUCGGAAUUCACACGCAAACGUUUCUCCAGGCGAGCUGUUGUGGUGGUACAAUCACUCACCCCAACUGAAGAGUUUGGAUCUUUAUGAAGUAUCACGGGAAUUACAUGUGAAAAGGUGGCAACGUGGCUGUACAACUCAGACCUGAAAAGAGAGGAUUUACCCACUAGACAUCAGGGCUUUAAGAGAGGGAGUGAGAUUGCUUGGCUGAGCAGAAUGUGAUUUUCUUGCCUUCGGUCGGUCCUCUGGUGUGAAAGUUGCAGUUCUCCGGAGAUGAGAUAGCCUGUCAUUUCGGACUGCACCAGAUGCUGCAGUUUGCCUGCUGCCCCUUCAACUUUCAUCUUCCUUAAUGUCAGAAAAAAAUGGUUUGGUUUCUUUCAUCAUGGACAAGGGCUCCGUGGCCAGAGUGAAGCAGAGGGUGGAGGUUUAUCAUCGAGGUCAUUUGGGUAAA
rnacentral:lncRNA from 1 species